UACGGAGGGUGCAAGCGUUGUUCGGAAUUAUUGGGCGUAAAGCGCGUGUAGGCGGCUAUUUAAGUCUGAUGUGAAAGCCCGGGGCUCAACCUCGGAAGUGCAUUGGAAACUGGCGAGCUAGAGUAUGGCAGAGGGUGGUGGAAUUUCCUGUGUAGCGGUGAAAUGCGUAGAUAUUAGGAGGAACACCAGUGGCGAAGGCGACUCUCUGGACUGUAACUGACGCUGAGGCACGAAAGCGUGGGGAG
rnacentral:rRNA from 1 species